rnacentral:lncRNA from 1 species
CGACACACCAAGUGGUGAAUACUUAAGCAGUUCUUAGACUUUGUGGAGCAGAUGGUAAAGUGCAUAAAUGGAAUAUACUGUAUUACAUCACAAAAUUUGCACUAAGCUCUCCACGCUAAACACCAAGACAGCUAAUUUGCAUGCUAACUUCAGCACCCGGUUGGAUUCCUAAGCUCUGGAAACAGCAUGGGAGUAAAUCGGGAGGGAAGGUACAGCGGCGGACCGGUGGAGAGGAUGCGGCAGGUGGAGGGCAUGGAGACGGACGCGUUGGAGGAGAGCCCGCCGAGGAGGAGGCCAGCGAUGCCGAAGAGAAAGGAGAAGAGGAAUGACGCUGCGAUGGGGAGGGCCAUCACGAGGGCCCCGCGGGCUGUGAUCCCGCACCGCCGCCUGCACCGCUCCGCUGGGUCCGCCCCUUUGCCCGGGGCGGCCCGUGGCGGCGCGGGCUCUGCCGCCGACGGAUCCAUCAAGUGGACGCGCGAUCCAUCACCGGUAGGCCGGCAAGCGGCGGUCGCCGGACGCCGGCGGUGGAGAGAGGUGAAGGAGGAUGGAAUUGGGGGUGAGCGAUGGUUGGAGAUGGGCAUAGCGACCGUACUUUUCUUGGGCUUGGGUGGUGUGCCUGCUGGGACGAUCGAAGGCUGUUUGGGCCGCGUAUCUGCAGCCUGUCAAGCUUAGUCAACGAAUGCUGCUCUAUGGACCGGUUUUCAUUUUCGUCUUUACCAAGAAAAAAAAAAUACCCCAGCAUCUCUACCCUUUGUGCCUCUCACGCCAAUGGCGAGCAGAGAGAGAAAAGGGGUUAGACAUUUGAAAAUGAUGCUAUCUUAGAAGUGUCGCAUAGUAGUAACAGAUCUCUUAACAACAAUGUCUCGUUAAUUUUCAGUAAUGUCUAGUUAUUAGAGACUAGUACAAAUGCCCGUGCGUUGCAAUGGGUUAUAAAUUUAAUUAAGGUUGGCCCUUGUAUUUUUUAUAAUUAAUUAAAUUCUAUGACUAACAGUUUCAUUUGUAAUUUUGUUUUGUUAAUUAAUGAUAGCAUAUGGAUUAGAACAUUUUUUUUAUCUUCCUGAUAUAUGUGUUUGCAUUUGUAAUCUAAGUGAGUCUUAAUUUGAUUGCAAACAUAUCAGACAGCUACAUCGAAAACAAUCAAUUUGUAAGUACGUGCAUACCAAAUGUUCCAGGUUGUGUAUUAAUAUCGAUAUUCUUAAAAAUAUAAAUAGCAAAACAGUUUUUAUUAAUGAAAAAUCAAAUCUCAGCCAUUUGCACAAAUGUUGGUUAGAGAUCAGAUACUUGACCUUACCUCACUCUUUCUAGAUCAAAUAGGUAUUCGAUUUCUCUCAACAUGUAAGUAAGGCACUACAUGAAUCUCAUGUGAUUGUCCCUUUUGCAGCACAUCUCUCAGUGGGAAUCGCAUCCAUGACUUCUGGCACUGGUACGGGUAAGCAGAAAAGGUAAUAUCCUCGGGUAAGGCAAAGCACAUUCGAAGACUGCCUUUUGAUUCGUAUCCUCGGAAAAUAACGAGCUAUUAAAAAAGAGAAAUGUGGAGACGCGGAAAGGAAAAGGAUUGAGUAGGCUUAUAUAAACAACAUUGUAUAUUUUUUAUACAUUAGAAACAUUUUUUUGCGUAUGACAUCACAAACAUUAUUGAGUUUUGAUGUCUAAUUUUUUAAUACGCAUUUUACAUAUUUUGUAUGCAUCAUGAAUAUUUUUUAUAUACAUGUUUUACAUUAUUCAAAUACACGAUUAACAUUUUUGAAAAGUUCUAUUUUUUAUGUCUACUUUGGUCCAUACACAUUAUAUAUUUUGUAUAUGUUUUCUUAUACACCGGAAAUAUUUUCCUAUACACAUUUAAAGUCUUUUAGAAACAUGAUCAAUAUUUUUCAAANGGGAGGUCUUGGUGGGUGGGAAGCGAUCUCUGUUGGUGUUGAUCUGGUAAACUGAGCGAUGGCAAGAACCGUCUUGCUGGAGAUGGUUUUAUAGGGUGGUCGCGUGUGGGGAACUUCUCGGCCGGCACGGCACGGUGGUUCCUUCCCGGAACGUCACUGGACAGCAUGUGCGCACUCUCCCUGCGAUCGAUGAUGAUCCAAUGGAGACCCUUUUUUCAUUUUAUCCUUACCUUCUUUUUGCGGGGUCCUUACUUUGUGGUUGUUUGGAUAAUGAAGAUUAAUUAAGUUGUUAUACAUACUGUUUAUGUGCAUGAGGGGCUGCUAACAGAGUACUUAAUUCAGAAAGGUGGACAUAUACAUAUUUAACCUGAGACAGUUGUACCUACCUACGUACAGUACUACACAAUUAUGCAGCAGUGAGGCGGAGCCGCGCUGCUUCCUGGGCAGAGCCGUUGCCUAAUCCAAUCGGCAUCAACUGCUUGCCGUGCAAGUGUCUGUCUGGUUGUCUGGCUUCCAAAAAGAAAGAAAAAGAGUUGUUAACGGACUGGCCGAGGAGCUCGUGACGGGGAACGUCGUCGCCGGCUUCCGGGUUCGACGAACCGUUCUUCGCCGUGGCCGUUCUUCGCCGUUCUUCGCCGUGGCCGUUCUUACCGAGGAGGCGACUUGACCGUUCUUCGCCGUGGCCGGGAUGAUGGGGACGAACGACAGAUUCCAUGGACCCCCGCCCGUGCACGCGCAGGAAUGGAGUGGUUGGAGACAUGGAAAUCAAAUACUACAAUCUGUUUUCUCUCUACACUUGGUCAGCUGGAGAUGGCCGUCCCUGUCCAUGUCUAAAGGGUUCUAGAAACGCACACGCCUCCAUUUUUCCUUUUCCUUCGAGGAAACAACCAUGCGAUGGCAACAGACAGUUUUUAUGCACCGCCAUUUUUUCUUCCUAGUAUAAAACGUAUCAUCAUAAGAGCUACAUUCUGUUAAAAAAAAGUUUCAGGGACUUCUGUAAGUACUGCGUUCCAGAGGAAAUUUCUCAACUCCAAGCAGCUUAGAGAAGGCUCAGUGGACAAUGGGGGGCUUGGAAAUAAAAAAAUCUAUUUGAAGAAUGUUCAUAACUAUCCUCGCUGGGGCCUCUUUGAUUCAUUUUGCAUUCAGGGCCAGCGAGUUAGACCACAUUUCCAAGCCCCCCAACUAUCAUUACCAUGAUUGCGAUACAUGUUGCACUGCAGGUUACAACAGAUCCAUGCCCACUGUACCUACCCAUGAUUCAUCCACCUAUCAGCGCACAGCAGGAUAAAUUACUACAUCACACAAGGGAAUCGGCUUAUUAUUUGAUAUACAUUGCCGAAACCAUUCACACAUUUUACAAGAACCUCUCCAUGAGUUUGAGGUCCAGCACAAGCUCUUUCAGCCCGACCAUUUUGCUGUACUGCAAGGUGAUCCAGCCUACGAAAGACACAUACGCAACAAGAAGGCACGCCCGCUUGAAGCGGUAAGCAAACACCCUCAUGCUAUGGUUGCUCACGGCCCACCUGGCGGCGGCGAGGAACGCUCCUCGGAGGAUUCUUACCGCUAUGGUGAUGAGUAUGGAGCUCAGCACGCCAGCCACAACCCCUGUUGCCGCGUAUCCAAGCAUCCGGCCCGAACUGAAAUCUUUUGACUUGCAGAACUUUGAGAACCUGUCGUGUUUCAAUCUCGAGUUAAACGGGAGGAAAUGGAAAUGUUAAAGAUAAAUGACCAUUUGAGAACUGAAGGGGAAAAAGAGACCAUGUUAACCAAUCAAAGAUUCUGAAGUUCCUACUGUUUACAGCUUGAAAUAAAGUGGUGAUGCAACAAUACAACCCAAGUAUAAGAAACAAAGCCAAUUGAUAAGGAUAAAAGCACUAGAGUUAGUCAGAUCACCAGAGCAAAAUAAGAGCAGUGAGUAUUUUUGGCUAUUGACUUCUGGUGAAGGAUAUGUGGACUAACAUGAUGUUAUCACAUUAUGAAAAAAGUAAGGUGAUGCCCAUGCAGUAGGUAGAAAAUUAGAGGGCAUAUAUACUCACAGUACAAAAAUCCUUUUCAGCAUUUCAAUUAUUGAAGGCUCCUCAGCAGUGCAAUUGAAUAGCUUGUCUGAAUAGAUGUCAGCUUUGGUACUCCCCAGUGUGUAUCUGCACUUGUAUGAUUCAUUGACCUACAAGAAAAGACGAUAAUAAAAUGAUGACCUCUUGAUAACUAAACAUCAUAUACGCCAAGGGCAUGCAAACAACUGAAGAUUGAAAAAACCACUGGAGAGAACAUUAUGUAUUUCUCAUGUGAACUAGAUGUUCCAUAGUAGUGUACCUUGAACCUUGCUGUUGUUGACCAUACAGCACCAAAAUCAGGCCGGCAAUUGUGAGGAAGAGCCUCUUUUGGAGCUUCUGCCAUUGCAUAAGAUGUUUGACCAGAAAAAUAUUCUGUGUAUUCAACCUACAGUAUUCAUCCGCAACACAAGUGAGAAAAACUAACUAACUAAACACAUAUAGCAAUCCUUGUGAUACUAAUAGUAAACUGAAAGACUGCGGGCAGGCUGUGCAGUGUGCAGUGCACGGCCGCAAGCUGAUGUUCGAAAUUUAAAUCGGUUGUGUCUUUAUUUACAGGAUUUUAUGAACAAACUAGAAACUACAGGUAGAAAUGUCCAUCAUUUAUUGCCUUACUUGGGAGUUGAGAGCAUGUAGAAAGCUUCGAGGAUUUGUAUAUAUCAUUAUCAGUAAAAGCAUUAGACAGCCCAAAUCCCCUCCUUCCCUCCCCUUCCACUGCACGAAAAACAAAAAGAACAAAAAACCAGGGAAAAGGGUAACGACCGCCCGUCCGUCAUCCACGCAUCCCACGCAGGCACGCCUCAUCUCCUCCACCGCCCCUCACCCCCACUUCCAUCUCUCCACUGAGAAAAAUAGCCGCCCCGCCCCGCCACCACGGCUCACAUUCUCUGCCACGACGAGCCGUCCGCUGCUCGUCUCCGUCGCAGCAUUGUGCCUCCCCUUGCUGUCGCGGUUGGGGACUUGGGGUCACCGGUGUAGGAGGAGCCGCCCCCAACGGAGAACGCAACGGCGAACCCGCCAACGGAGAAGCUGUUCCUGGCGGAGAACAGUGGUGUCGAGCACAACGACACUGACCCAAACGCAGGCAUCGCGUGCAACCUGUCCUAUCCACGACAUGGUAUCCCAACAUCAGUGUGACCGGCACUAACAGCACGCCCUCUACAUGGGUCCCACACGGGAGCGAUAGGAGAGAUGGCAGUACCGUUGAGCUCACAACUGUCAUGCACGUUGAGGCGAAGGCAAGACCGGCAUAGGCUGCGGCACACAUGGUGAUGCCGUCGCAGAUCCACAAGAUCCAAUGAAUACACUUGUAAGGCUCUUCUGUAAUCCCGUUUUCUCUUCAAGAACCCCAACUUGCUCAAUAAGAUGCUGAUUGCUCGUCUGAGUAACUUUAGGUGUUUGCUCAUUUGCUUCCGUUAGGUUCUGCCCGUCAAUUUUGCUAGCAUGCUGAGAAGUAUAUUUUGUGAUACCCGCAUUUGUUGCUAGGUGUUUGCUCAUUUGCUUCUGUUAGGCUUAAAACAAAGAGUAUCAGCCUCCCGAGUCUCUUAGGCAUUCAAGUAAGCCUCCGAUACCCGCAUUUGUUGCUAUGUUGAGUUAGCUUUGAGCAGUAUUUUGCAGUCAAUACUCAAUAGAAGUACUUGUCCGACCUAUCAGGUGAUCCUUUGAUUUGUUGAGUUAAUACCUGCUGUUUUCUUUAUAAAUUAGCUACCUAAAACGAUGGUUUGCUGCUGACAAGUCAUUUUCUUAUGAGGUAUGUGGGGAUCGAAUAUGUGCAUGAUCUUCUUUAUUUGAUAUGGUAAAUUUGGAAGGUGUUAACCUACUUCAGCAAGUGAAACUAACUUGGAAAAGAAAUGAGAGACUGUGCAUUUCAGUAUCAUGAUCUUCUUAUGUAAUUUUGUUUUGCACACCACAUGGCCUUCCCCCUCCUAAAUUCUGGAUACCUAUAUCCCCACCCAUUAAUUAACUAAACAAAUAUAGUAAUCCUCAUGAAUACUAAUAGUAAGCGGAAAGACGUGCACGACCGCAAGCUGAUGUUCCAGAUAUAAGUAUGUCGUAUCUUUUUUAACAGGUCCUUUAUAAACAAACUAAAAACUACAGCUAGAAUUGUUCAUCAUUUAUUGCCUUAUUUGGGAGUUGAGAGCACAUAGAAAGCAUCAAAGGUCCGUGUAUAAUAUUAUCAGUUAAAAGCACUAGACAGGCCAAAUCUAGAGGAGCUAAAUGUGAGAAUAGCUAAAAAGUAGUUAAUACAAGAUUUAUAAAAUGUCGCUGUGCUGGUACAAGAAGAUAAAGCAAGUGAAACAACCAACCGGCAGCUUUAACAACAUUUAUAGCUGCUCCACUAGAGAAACAAACACCAAUGUAGAAUCACAAUAUAAAUUCUCACCUCAAAAACUGAAGCCCAGUAAUAGUCAUCAUGGCAGCGGAAUCUUCGAUUGCUCGAGGGGUAAAACACAUGCUUAGCUUUAUAGUUCAACAGUCCAAGCUCGCAAACUUUAGAUGACCGAAUGUCCAAGCCUACAAUACGCCAAGAACCGCAUCAGGAUAAAGAUCAACGCAGCUCGGUCUAAACCGAAAGAGAAAACUAAUCACAUCCUAAGCUUGCUAACUGAGCCACAGUAUAAUCAGCAUCCAACACACACCACAAGUGAUGGCGCGUCGCAAUCCACACAGCGACACACCAAGUGGUGAAUACUUAAGCAGUUCUUAGACUUUGUGGAGCAGAUGGUAAAGUGCAUAAAUGGAAUAUACUGUAUUACAUCACAAAAUUUGCACUAAGCUCUCCACGCUAAACACCAAGACAGCUAAUUUGCAUGCUAACUUCAGCACCCGGUUGGAUUCCUAAGCUCUGGAAACAGCAUGGGAGUAAAUCGGGAGGGAAGGUACAGCGGCGGACCGGUGGAGAGGAUGCGGCAGGUGGAGGGCAUGGAGACGGACGCGUUGGAGGAGAGCCCGCCGAGGAGGAGGCCAGCGAUGCCGAAGAGAAAGGAGAAGAGGAAUGACGCUGCGAUGGGGAGGGCCAUCACGAGGGCCCCGCGGGCUGUGAUCCCGCACCGCCGCCUGCA